AGUGAACGCUGGCGGUAGGCCUAACACAUGCAAGUCGAACGGCAGCACAGUAAGAGCUUGCUCUUACGGGUGGCGGGUGGCGGACGGGUGAGGAAUACAUCGGUAUCUACUUUUUCGUGGGGGAUAACGUAGGGAAACUUACGCUAAUACCGCAUACGACCUACGGGUGAAAGCAGGGGAUCUUCGGACCUUGCGCGAUUGAAUGAGCCGAUGUCGGAUUAGCUAGUUGGCGGGGUAAAGGCCCACCAAGGCGACGAUCCGUAGCUGGUCUGAGAGGAUGAUCAGCCACACUGGAACUGAGACACGGUCCAGACUCCUACGGGAGGCAGCAGUGGGGAAUAUUGGACAAUGGGCGCAAGCCUGAUCCAGCCAUACCGCGUGGGUGAAGAAGGCCUUCGGGUUGUAAAGCCCUUUUGUUGGGAAAGAAAAGCAGCAGGUUAAUACCCCGCUGUUCUGACGGUACCCAAAGAAUAAGCACCGGCUAACUUCGUG
rnacentral:rRNA from 1 species